GGCGCGAUGGCGGAGUGGUUAACGCGAGAGACUAGAACUGACUAAAUUCUGACUAAUCUCUUCCCUUCGGGGGCGUAGGUUCGAAUCCUGCUCGCGUCG
rnacentral:tRNA from 1 species